GGGGUCGUUGUCUAGUAUGGUCUAAGAUGCAUGGCUCGGGUCCAUGAGAUCGUGGGUUCAAAUCCCACCGACCCCA
rnacentral:tRNA from 1 species